GAGCGGGCCCGAAUAAAUUGGUUAGAAGAGGUUGAAUCCAAAUUAUGCAAGACGCACUGAAGAAAUAGAUGGCCCUGGUUUAAACGUGAGAUCUCAGAGCUAAAAGCAAUGCAUACAUCAAGCAACUUUACACUGAUGUCCAAGUACACGUCAAUCCAUUUCUCAUCCCAGUCACUCACAGGGAGGUCAAUCUCAGAUAUGAGGGUUUUUAUGUCAUUAUGAGUUCCACAAAGAGACUCCAUCGCCAAUUUCAUCCAUGACAAGCUGAGGACAUCAUCCUUGUCUU
rnacentral:lncRNA from 1 species